rnacentral:rRNA from 1 species
UUCAGCGGCGGACGGGUGAGUAAUGCCUAAGAAUCUGCCUGGUAGUGGGGGAUAACGUCCGGAAACGGGCGCUAAUACCGCAUACGUCCUGAGGGAGAAAGUGGGGGAUCUUCGGACCUCACGCUAUCAGAUGAGCCUAGGUCGGAUUAGCUAGUUGGUGGGGUAAAGGCCUACCAAGGCGACGAUCCGUAACUGGUCUGAGAGGAUGAUCAGUCACACUGGAACUGAGACACGGUCCAGACUCCUACGGGAGGCAGCAGUGGGGAAUAUUGGACAAUGGGCGAAAGCCUGAUCCAGCCAUGCCGCGUGUGUAAAGAAGGUCUUCGGAUUGUAAAGCACUUUAAGUUGGGAGGAAGGGCAGUAAGUUAAUACCUUGCUGUUUUGACGUUACCAACAGAAUAAGCACCGGCUAACUUCGUGCCAGCAGCCGCGGUAAUACGAAGGGUGCAAGCGUUAAUCGGAAUUACUGGGCGUAAAGCGCGCGUAGGUGGUUCAGCAAGUUGGAUGUGAAAUCCCCGGGCUCAACCUGGGAACUGCAUCCAAAACUACUGAGCUAGAGUACGGUAGAGGGUGGUGGAAUUUCCUGUGUAGCGGUGAAAUGCGUAGAUAUAGGAAGGAACACCAGUGGCGAAGGCGACCACCUGGACUGAUACUGACACUGAGGUGCGAAAGUGUGGGGAGCAAACAGGAUUAGAUACCCUGGUAGUCCACGCCGUAAACGAUGUCGACUA